AUCAAAUUGACAGACAUAAUAUUUCCUAAAUGGUGUGUACCAAAUUAAAACAUGAUUUAAAAAAAACUAAACUAUGUUUCUUUUCUAAUAUUUUCCAUCAACUUUCUGACGGUUCCUAUGGCGUUAAGUUUAAAUGGGUUCCAGGUAGUUAUUUUCGAUGGGUACUUUCCGCACGUGAAGACCGAUUUGUGGUUAGAGCUGACAGCCCUGAUUAGUCUUAAAGAGAGCUCGUUAUAUACGCACAUUCUCACCUGAGGAAAUUAACCGAAGAUAUGGAGUAACAAAUUGCGAACCUCUUUUUUAUGUCGGUAAAUUAUUAUGUAGAGAUGAUUUCAAUAAUAAAUCAACUGAAAUCCCA